rnacentral:rRNA from 1 species
UACGUAGGUGGCGAGCGUUGUCCGGAUUUACUGGGCGUAAAGGGCGCGUAGGCGGCGACUCAAGUUAGAUGUGAAAGUCCUGGGCUUAACCUGGGGACUGCAUUUGAUACUGAUUGGCUUGAAUUCGGGAGAGGAUAGCGGAAUUCCCAGUGUAGAGGUGAAAUUCGUAGAUAUUGGGAAGAACACCGGUGGCGAAGGCGGCUAUCUGGACCGACAUUGACGCUGAGGCGCGAAAGCGUGGGGAGCAAACAGG